UACAGAGGUCUCAAGCGUUGUUCGGAUUCAUUGGGCGUAAAGGGUGCGUAGGUGGCGCGGUAAGUCGGGUGUGAAAUCUCGGGGCUUAACUCCGAAACUGCAUUCGAUACUGCCGUGCUUGAGGACUGGAGAGGAGACUGGAAUUUACGGUGUAGCAGUGAAAUGCGUAGAUAUCGUAAGGAAGACCAGUGGCGAAGGCGGGUCUCUGGACAGUUCCUGACACUGAGGCACGAAGGCCAGGGGAGCAAACGGGG
rnacentral:rRNA from 1 species